GAUGAAGAACGCAGCGAAAUGCGAUAAGUAAUGUGAAUUGCAGAAUUCAGUGAAUCAUCGAAUCUUUGAACGCACAUUGCGCCCUUUGGCAUUCCGAAGUGCACACCUGUCCGAGCGCCGUCGCACAACUGAGGCGCAGCCUUGCGUUGGCGGGCGACUUGUGAGUAGCGAGUCGCCGCCCAAACGAGACGGCGCCGCGCCGCGGCCGACGAAGCACGAAAGCGGAAGUCGACGCGGAGGCGGUUGCCUGUAGGAAGACACAGCUUGGCCUCGGAUCAGGUGGGGAUACCCGCUGAACUUAAGCAUAUCAAUAAGCGGAGGA
rnacentral:misc_RNA from 1 species